CACGUAGUUAGCCGGGGCUUCUUACUCAGGUACCGUCUGCUGACCGUAAGGUCAGUGUUUCUUCCCUGCUGAUAGAGCUUUACGUAACGAAUUACUUCUUCACUCACGCGGCGUCGCUGCAUCAGGGUUUCCCCCAUUGUGCAAUAUUCCCCACUGCUGCCUCCCGUAGGAGUCUGGGCCGUGUCUCAGUCCCAAUGUGGCCGUCCGCCCUCUCAGGCCGGCUACUGAUCGUCGCCUUGGUGGGCCGUUACCCCGCCAACAAGCUAAUCAGACGCGGGUCCAUCUUACACCACCGGAGUUUUUCACACCGCUUCAUGCGAAGCUGUGCGCUUAUGCGGUUUUAGCACCUAUUUCUAAGUGUUAUCCCCCUGUGUAAGGCAGGUUACCCACGCGUUACUCACCCGUCCGCCACUAACCCAUAUAUCACUAGGUUUCAAUAUGGGUCCGUUCGACUUGCAUGUGUUAAGCACGCCGCCAGCGUUCAUCCUGAGCCAGGAUCAAACUCU
rnacentral:rRNA from 1 species